UUGGCCCCGGCAGGGCGGCGCGGGCACGGCGGCGGGGAGCGGCUCCGGCAGCCCCCGGCCUGGCAGCGCCCCUGUGCGCGAGGGGCAGGGGGCGAUGCCCGCGGGGAAAUCGGCUUGUGUGGGGGCAGAGGAGCCGGGGGAUGGCCAGCUCGUCAGGCGGCGGGGACCGCUCUAUCAGACCGGAAGACAAAGGUGACCCCCCGUGGGACGAGGGAAUUGUAAAAAAGAAUUUCAAGUGAGCAUGGUCUGGCUGAUAUUUGAAUAACAAGAAGGGAUGUGCAGAGAUGGAAGUAUCUGUUGGCAAACUGCCAGAAUCACAAGAUGCAAACCAGAGGACCAGAGGCACAGGAGCUGAUAGAAGGGGACCACAAAUCUCCCAAGGAUAGAUGAUUAUUAUUAUUAGAAUGUAUUUUUAAAAAUAAUUUUCCUCUUUUGGCUUUUAGCCAAACUUGUUUGCUGCCUCCAAGACAUAAAAUAGAAACUCCACACUGCUCCACACUUUUUCCAAACUCCUGCAAGAAUCCAAGAUUCGUACAUUUCCUAGGGUUUUCCCAUGGCAUUCAUUUCAGAAGAGCUUUCCCUUUUCAGACUUAAAGUACAAAGAGGUAUGCACACUGCUUCAUAUAUGUGCAUACUUAAUUCUUUUAAUUGAAAGAUAAGCAAUCAAAAUGUGUUGAUCCCUUGAGAAAUAAGGUUUCUGAGUAAAUAUUCAACUGUCACACUAUUAGAUGUGCUGAAACAGCACCAGUUGAAUACAACAACUCUCCCUGCUCACUUUGAGGGAGUUAAUAGCAGUGGAGAGGAACUUGUUUGACAAGAAGGCCAUUCAUAGUGGCCGUCCCUAUCAGGCAGAACACCUGAUUGCUUCAUGAUGUUUACAGAGAAAGACAGAAAUGUUUAGAAGUUUUGCUAUGCAGAUUAGUACAGAGAGAAGAAACUUCCUAUACUUAUAUUCACCUAUCUGAAAAUUUGAACCCUAUGCCCCUGUGGAGCAAAAUUCUCCAUGAUCUACAUGAAAGGGUAGCUGAGGAUCAACAGAAUAUCUCAGCCAUGAAACAUGACAUCCUUUGAACACAUCCCCAGGAAACAUUUGCUUGGGGAAAAAAAACAACAGUUAACCUCAAGCAAGCAGAUCUCGCAGAAGGAGGCCUUUUUAUUUCCCAGGUUGCCCAGGCACUGUGAUGUGAAGUCUUUGAAAUGACAGUAGCUACAAAAGACAGGAGCUCAGGCAAAGAACGUGCCCUAGGGACAUGUUGUGGCUCCAGCAGCUGUGAGGAAGACAUCAGCUUAGAAAACAGCACCCAACACAGCACCUCUGCCACAAGCAUCAAAUGGAAGAAGGCAAACCUAAUUCCCAAAAAGCCAAGCCAUCUACAAUCGAUGCACUUACUAGUAACUUGUGGAAGUUAGUUGUAUGUCUAUUAGUUGUAUGUCUGUUAGUUGUAUAAAUGCUGUUCAUUCAACUCACUGACUAAAACAAAAUUUCUUUGACCAUUCAUAUAAAAGCUUAAGGCAUCGGGACAUCAGGAGCCUCACUGAACUCCAGACUUCACAUAUUUGUUCUCAAAAUUGCCCUUUCUUUGAGUGUUGUAUAUUUUAUCCAGAAAAUAACACUGAAGUCCAGUUUUCUGUAAGAGCAGAUUUAGAAUAUGACAACUUCUGCUUUUGAAAGUAGAUUGCUUUAGACACCUCUGGGUCUUGUUUUAAAUAGAAAUCACCCAUGCAGUAUGCUUGUCAACUUGGGCCAGACAUGUCAUACAAGGGUUGGUUGCAUUUGGGAUUUUUUUCUUUUUUUCACCUAGAUAUAAGCAAACCUUAAUGUAGAAACUUGAAAAGCAACCAGACUACUGUCAUCUUCAGUUGAGAGAAAGAAACAGAAGCACAAGACUCUGCUUGAGUUCUUCUUUCCCAUAUGGCUCGUAAUAAGUCAAAACUGCCAUUUUCUUCUCCUGAAGUUAUUUUGCAGGUAAUUUCUAUUUUGAUGCAGAUCCUGGAGGAUUAGAUAGAACAUCCUGGCGUUGCUUUUUUCAUAGCAGAAGAAUGACCUGUUAUGACACUGACUUAUAUGUACCAGACAUCUUGGCAAAGAUGGAAUUCUCUGUGCCCUGAACGGGAGUGUUCGAUAGCAGCAUGGUUCUGGUAGAGCUUUAGAUAAAUGUGCUCUCCAUCCAGGUCCAAUUAGGAAACACUACUUUGCUGUGCUGUCCCCAGUGAUACCAGACCAGGUCAAAAGAAUUACAUUUCUACAGUCUGCAUCUUUAAAACCGGUUUCCAGUCAGUGGUUUGAUGCUUCUUAAUUGGUUCAUAGUGCAUAUAGUCGGUGCUUGCAAAAAAAUUUAGAUUUGUGUCGUUCAGGGUUGCAUGUUUCCUUUGAGACUGACACUAAUUUUAGCAGAGCCCUGGGCAAGAAUAACUUGAAUGCUGCAAGCCUGCAUUGGGCUCUCUUCUCAACAGUGCUGUGGAGGGAGGAUGUUUGCACAUCCAUGACAAGCCCUAACCUUUCCUCCCACUCUCAGCUUCUGUGACAUUGCCCCCUCAGGCUAUGAUUGCCCCAUCUUUUCAUUUUUGAGGCUUUGCAGACUUUGAUGCUGUUGCUGACAGUGCUGAAAGCCAGGAGCAGAGGAAGGAUGUGGUAAGGAAGAACCAUGUGCUGAGACUGAGAGGGAAACCAGGGAAUUCAGUAUUUGACAUGGCCUGUCAGCAUCAAGUGAGUGCGCAGUGUGCAGAAGGAGGUGUGGACUGAAGGAACAGGUGGAAAUACUUGUGGAGCAGAGCUCUGGGAAGAUGGAUCUCUCCAUGAAUAACUAGACUGCACACCACAGUUCAGGUUUCCUAUUCCAUUUAGUAAUACCAAGGAAUCUUUGUCAGUUCCUGAAGACUUUUCCACUACAUAUUGGGUACCCUUUACAUAUGCAAAAUGAAAGAAUCUGGCAGGCACAAACGAGUUUGUCAGAAAGAAAUUACUACUUUGUGGAAGAAGGGAUUGAUUCCCUAAACACAAUGAGCUGUGAGAAUGGGUCAGUAAGACUCAUUCUCACUUUUGGUGUGAAGGAAACAAACUGCUUGGACCUCCAGGAAUCUCCAGUCACACACAAGUGACACAAAAAGUUGACAGCUCUAUUCGGUAAUUUAGAUCCUCCUGUAGGUUUUGUCUCUGUAGCCCAUCUGUCAAAAAGAUACAAAAUGCACACAUCUAACAAGAUGGUGAAGUGGGAGCUGUUAAAACUGUAGACAGGAAUUAGUCAAGUCUGUGCUAGCUGGUAACUUUAUUCUCCUUUCUGUUACCUGUUCUUUCACUUAGCAAGCUUUCCUAAUCAAUGCUCUUUUAUCAGAGUCUUGUCCUUGUUCUGUGUUUGAAAACCAGCUGAGAUAUCCUUCGUGUAACCAAUCUAUCAGCCGGAUCUAGAUCAACCAUUCUAUUUUCAGCCCACAGGCAUUUUUCUUGUUAGACAGCUUCUGCAUCUAGACCGUCUCUUCAAAGUUCAUCUUGUACAACAGCAGCUGAAUGGUGAGCAAGAGAAAAGGACACAAGGAAAUGGAGCUAUUGCCAGAAAUGGAGACAACUGCAAAAGUGGGUCAAGAGAGUAUUCUCCAGCAGAAGCUCUAAAUCUAUGAAAUGGGUCAAAAUGGAAAUUAACCUAGAACUCUCGGCAUCUACCUGGGACGAGUGCCCAUCAGCACAUGGAUUUCAAAGCUGUUUCAAGAUGCAGUGUCAUAGAUUUUGAAUUCUUCAUAAGCCCUGUGUGUUGAACUUCAGUGACUAUCCCCAUUUGUACAAUACUUUGACUUAAUUUCUGAAUUUGUCUAGCUUCAACUUCCAGCAAUUAGUUCUCGUCUGAAGCACUUUGUGUCUGAUUUGAGUCCCCUGUAUUACCAAAAUUCAGCUCCCCACCUAGAUUAUCAAAGGCUGCUCUUACAUUUGUAUUGCAAACCAUUUUGGUGAACUAAGUAGACAAAGUAAGAUUUAUUAUGCAUACAUUCAAUAAAAAUAUAUUUCAAGACCGAAAAAUAAAA